rnacentral:rRNA from 1 species
CCUACGGGCGGCAGCAGUGAGGAAUAUUGGUCAAUGGCCGAGAGGCUGAACCAGCCAAGUCGCGUGAGGGAAGACGGCCCUACGGGUUGUAAACCUCUUUUGUCGGGGAGCAAAGCGAACCACGUGUGGUUCAUUGAGAGUACCCGAAGAAAAAGCAUCGGCUAACUCCGUGCCAGCAGCCGCGGUAAUACGGAGGAUUCGAGCGUUAUCCGGAUUUAUUGGGUUUAAAGGGUGCGCAGGCGGAGGUGCAAGUCAGCGGUAAAAUUGCGGGGCGCAACCCCGUACUGCCGUUGAAACUGCAUCCCUUGAGUGCGCGAGAAGUAUGCGGAAUGCGUGGUGUAGCGGUGAAAUGCAUAGAUAUCACGCAGAACCCCGAUUGCGAAGGCAGCAUACCGGUGCGCAACUGACGCUCAUGCACGAAAGCGUGGGUAUCGAACAGGAUUAGAUACCCUUGUAGUC